UCCUAGAAACCAAGCCAAGCUAUCUUCUUCAACUAUUUGUAACUCUGUCAGUUGUGUUUCCUUCUUCCGUGUCUGUGCUGUUCUCCUUGUUCAAGCAAAAGCAAGAGAAAGAGAAGAAACCAAAAGGAAGAAGAUAAUAUAAUAUAUAAUAUAUUACAUGGGUUUUCUUUGCUGCAGUGGGAAACCGAGCAAGCGAUCAGAGAGCAGCAGCAUCAAUGAAAAUAACAGUAACAUUAAGCGCAAGGAUCAAACACAAGUCACUUCGGGGUCAUUGAAAAUGAAGCCAUAUGUGAACAAUUUAAGUAAAGAGGGGGGAUCUAAGGAUGAUCAAUUGUCAUUGGAUGUAAAGAGUUUAAAUAUGAAGGAUGAGAUUUCUAAGGAUAGAAGAAGCAAUGGAAAACAGGCUCAAACUUUUACUUUUGAGGAACUUGCGGCCGCAACGAGCAAUUUUAGGUCUGAUUGUUUUUUGGGUGAAGGAGGUUUUGGUAAGGUUUACAAAGGGUACCUGGACAAAAUCAACCAGGCUGUUGCUAUCAAGCAACUUGAUCGAAAUGGAGUUCAGGGGAUUAGGGAGUUUGUAGUUGAAGUAGUGACUUUAAGUCUAGCAGACCAUCCAAAUCUUGUCAAGUUGAUUGGGUUUUGUGCUGAGGGAGAUCAGAGGCUAUUGGUUUAUGAGUACAUGCCAUUAGGAUCUCUGGAAAAUCAUUUACAUGAUAUUCCACCCAAUAGGCAACCGCUUGAUUGGAACGCAAGAAUGAAAAUAGCUGCUGGUGCAGCAAAAGGUUUAGAGUAUUUGCACAAUGAAAUGGAACCUCCUGUUAUAUAUCGCGACUUAAAAUGCUCCAACAUUUUGCUUGGCGAGGGCUAUCAUCCUAAGUUAUCUGAUUUUGGUCUGGCAAAAGUGGGACCCAGCGGAGAUAAGACUCAUGUUUCUACAAGGGUUAUGGGCACCUACGGAUACUGUGCACCAGAUUAUGCAAUGACAGGUCAGCUGACGUUUAAAUCAGAUAUUUAUAGCUUCGGGGUUGUUCUUUUGGAGCUCAUCACAGGCAGGAAAGCAAUUGAUCAAAGAAAAGAACGUGGUGAGCAGAAUCUAGUUGCAUGGGCACGACCCAUGUUCAAAGACCGGAGGAACUUCUCAUGCAUGGUUGACCCUUUGCUUCAAGGUCAAUAUCCAAUAAGAGGAUUAUACCAAGCCCUCGCCAUUGCCGCAAUGUGUGUGCAGGAGCAGCCCAAUAUGCGCCCUGCGGUAUCCGAUUUGGUUAUGGCUCUGAACUAUCUGGCAUCUCACAAAUAUGAUCCCCAAAUCCAUUCUGUCCAAGACUCUCGGAGGAGCCCAUCUCGUCCUGGAUUAGAUAAGGACAGAGGACAAUAGCACAAAUUGCAUAGGGUGGGCUCACGAGACAAAUUGCAUAGGGUGGGCUCACGAGACAAAUUGCAUAGGGUGGGCUCACGAGUAACUAAUAUGGAGGAUGGAAAAUUAGGAAUUGAGUGCCCAACACCUUUUUGCAGUGUUAAUAUACCUAGUGCCGGGUAUCAAUUUUUCUAACCUGGGAGAUAUCUGGCUAUAAUUCCAUCCUCAUCCUCUCAGAGAAAUUCCUGCCCUUUCGUUUUUCCAGGGGUACAUGACAGCUUGGCUUUUGGAUUUUCUUUCCUAUCAUUGAAUUUAGCAUUAUACCUGGAAAUGGAAAGUUGAAAUGGGACAGCUUUACCCGGAACAUUGAUUAUCUUCUUCCUAUUCUGGACACAAGGUGCACUGGCUUGGUAUAUUCCAUGGCAUACGCAACAAUAUGAAGACAUUUUAAAAGUUGAAACGCGUUUCUUUUCAUCCAAGGAAAGCCUUCACGAUGAGGCAGGGUUUUCGUGGGAGUUUUAACCAGAAGGUAAGGGUCAAACUUUUCAGGUUCAUGUGUUUGUUUGGAGGUGUAAAACAAGUCGUAGAGAGCACCCAUGAAGUGACAUGAACAUGACAAUGUAGUUUGCCAAGAAAUUGGAUGGAGGUUAUGCUUUGCUGAGACACUAUCAUUCCAUUCUAUUCCAUCCAAUGAAAUGAAAUUGUAGAUUUACUAGAAUCCAAUUCAAGUGCAGCCAAACAAAAAAGAAUUGCUACCAA